rnacentral:rRNA from 1 species
UAAGGAAUAUUGGUCAAUGGACGAAAGUCUGAACCAGCCAUGCCGCGUGAAGGAUGAAGGUCCUCUGGAUUGUAAACUUCUUUUAUCUGGGACGAAAAAAGGGAAUUCUUUCUCACUUGACGGUACCAGAAGAAUAAGCACCGGCUAACUCCGUGCCAGCAGCCGCGGUAAUACGGAGGGUGCAAGCGUUAUCCGGAUUCACUGGGUUUAAAGGGUGCGUAGGUGGGCAGUUAAGUCAGUGGUGAAAUCUCCGGGCUUAACCCGGAAACUGCCAUUGAUACUAUCUGUCUUGAAUACUCUGGAGGUAAGCGGAAUAUGUCAUGUAGCGGUGAAAUGCUUAGAUAUGACAUAGAACACCGAUUGCGAAGGCAGCUUACUACGGUAAGUUACGAUUGACACUGA